rnacentral:tRNA from 1 species
GCCGGGAUAGCUCAGUUGGUAGAGCAGGGGACUGAAAAUCCUCGUGUCACCAGUCCCAAUAAAGGCCGAGC